rnacentral:rRNA from 1 species
UUAAGCGACUAAGCGUACACGGUGGAUGCCCUGGCAGUCAGAGGCGAUGAAGGACGUGCUAAUCUGCGAUAAGCGUCGGUGAGGUGAUAUGAACCGUUAUAACCGGCGAUUUCCGAAUGGGGAAACCCAGUGUGUUUCGACACACUAUCAUUAACUGAAUCCAUAGGUUAAUGAGGCGAACCGGGGGAACUGAAACAUCUAAGUACCCCGAGGAAAAGAAAUCAACCGAGAUUCCCCCAGUAGCGGCGAGCGAACGGGGAGGAGCCCAGAGCCUGAAUCAGUGUGUGUGUUAGUGGAAGCGUCUGGAAAGGCGCGCGAUACAGGGUGACAGCCCCGUACACAAAAAUGCACAUACUGUGAGCUCGAUGAGUAGGGCGGGACACGUGGUAUCCUGUCUGAAUAUGGGGGGACCAUCCUCCAAGGCUAAAUACUCCUGACUGACCGAUAGUGAACCAGUACCGUGAGGGAAAGGCGAAAAGAACCCCGGCGAGGGGAGUGAAAAAGAACCUGAAACCGUGUACGUACAAGCAGUGGGAGCCUCUUAAUGGGGUGACUGCGUACCUUUUGUAUAAUGGGUCAGCGACUUAUAUUCUGUAGCAAGGUUAACCGAAUAGGGGAGCCGAAGGGAAACCGAGUCUUAACUGGGCGUUAAGUUGCAGGGUAUAGACCCGAAACCCGGUGAUCUAGCCAUGGGCAGGUUGAAGGUUGGGUAACACUAACUGGAGGACCGAACCGACUAAUGUUGAAAAAUUAGCGGAUGACUUGUGGCUGGGGGUGAAAGGCCAAUCAAACCGGGAGAUAGCUGGUUCUCCCCGAAAGCUAUUUAGGUAGCGCCUCGUGAAUUCAUCUCCGGGGGUAGAGCACUGUUUCGGCAAGGGGGUCAUCCCGACUUACCAACCCGAUGCAAACUGCGAAUACCGGAGAAUGUUAUCACGGGAGACACACGGCGGGUGCUAACGUCCGUCGUGAAGAGGGAAACAACCCAGACCGCCAGCUAAGGUCCCAAAGUCAUGGUUAAGUGGGAAACGAUGUGGGAAGGCCCAGACAGCCAGGAUGUUGGCUUAGAAGCAGCCAUCAUUUAAAGAAAGCGUAAUAGCUCACUGGUCGAGUCGGCCUGCGCGGAAGAUGUAACGGGGCUAAACCAUGCACCGAAGCUGCGGCAGCGACACUAUGUGUUGUUGGGUAGGGGAGCGUUCUGUAAGCCUGUGAAGGUGUACUGUGAGGUAUGCUGGAGGUAUCAGAAGUGCGAAUGCUGACAUAAGUAACGAUAAAGCGGGUGAAAAGCCCGCUCGCCGGAAGACCAAGGGUUCCUGUCCAACGUUAAUCGGGGCAGGGUGAGUCGACCCCUAAGGCGAGGCCGAAAGGCGUAGUCGAUGGGAAACAGGUUAAUAUUCCUGUACUUGGUGUUACUGCGAAGGGGGGACGGAGAAGGCUAUGUUGGCCGGGCGACGGUUGUCCCGGUUUAAGCGUGUAGGCUGGUUUUCCAGGCAAAUCCGGAAAAUCAAGGCUGAGGCGUGAUGACGAGGCACUACGGUGCUGAAGCAACAAAUGCCCUGCUUCCAGGAAAAGCCUCUAAGCAUCAGGUAACAUCAAAUCGUACCCCAAACCGACACAGGUGGUCAGGUAGAGAAUACCAAGGCGCUUGAGAGAACUCGGGUGAAGGAACUAGGCAAAAUGGUGCCGUAACUUCGGGAGAAGGCACGCUGAUAUGUAGGUGAAGCGACUUGCUCGUGGAGCUGAAAUCAGUCGAAGAUACCAGCUGGCUGCAACUGUUUAUUAAAAACACAGCACUGUGCAAACACGAAAGUGGACGUAUACGGUGUGACGCCUGCCCGGUGCCGGAAGGUUAAUUGAUGGGGUUAGCGGUAACGCGAAGCUCUUGAUCGAAGCCCCGGUAAACGGCGGCCGUAACUAUAACGGUCCUAAGGUAGCGAAAUUCCUUGUCGGGUAAGUUCCGACCUGCACGAAUGGCGUAAUGAUGGCCAGGCUGUCUCCACCCGAGACUCAGUGAAAUUGAACUCGCUGUGAAGAUGCAGUGUACCCGCGGCAAGACGGAAAGACCCCGUGAACCUUUACUAUAGCUUGACACUGAACAUUGAGCCUUGAUGUGUAGGAUAGGUGGGAGGCUUUGAAGUGUGGACGCCAGUCUGCAUGGAGCCGACCUUGAAAUACCACCCUUUAAUGUUUGAUGUUCUAACGUUGGCCCGUAAUCCGGGUUGCGGACAGUGUCUGGUGGGUAGUUUGACUGGGGCGGUCUCCUCCUAAAGAGUAACGGAGGAGCACGAAGGUUGGCUAAUCCUGGUCGGACAUCAGGAGGUUAGUGCAAUGGCAUAAGCCAGCUUGACUGCGAGCGUGACGGCGCGAGCAGGUGCGAAAGCAGGUCAUAGUGAUCCGGUGGUUCUGAAUGGAAGGGCCAUCGCUCAACGGAUAAAAGGUACUCCGGGGAUAACAGGCUGAUACCGCCCAAGAGUUCAUAUCGACGGCGGUGUUUGGCACCUCGAUGUCGGCUCAUCACAUCCUGGGGCUGAAGUAGGUCCCAAGGGUAUGGCUGUUCGCCAUUUAAAGUGGUACGCGAGCUGGGUUUAGAACGUCGUGAGACAGUUCGGUCCCUAUCUGCCGUGGGCGCUGGAGAACUGAGGGGGGCUGCUCCUAGUACGAGAGGACCGGAGUGGACGCAUCACUGGUGUUCGGGUUGUCAUGCCAAUGGCACUGCCCGGUAGCUAAAUGCGGAAGAGAUAAGUGCUGAAAGCAUCUAAGCACGAAACUUGCCCCGAGAUGAGUUCUCCCUGACUCCCUGAGAGUCCUGAAGGAACGUUGAAGACGACGACGUUGAUAGGCCGGGUGUGUAAGCGCAGCGAUGCGUUGAGCUAACCGGUACUAAUGAACCGUGAGGCUUAACCUU